rnacentral:lncRNA from 1 species
CUCUGGACCAGACGCCGCCUGCACGGGUGGGGACGCUGGUCGCUGCCGGGGGCAAGUCUGCCGACUCCAGAAAGAAAGGCGAAAGAAUGUGUGUAGACCCGGGCAUCCUUGGUCGUCAGCAUGUUUGCUUUAUUUAAUUACAGAUGUUCAGGCUGCUGUCAACACCCGACAAUUUUUUUUGGUCAUUUCAUUCCCUAGAGAUUGUGAAGCUAAGUGCUGUGAGGGAAACCAGAGGCAGCUGAGAUGUCGUGGAAGUAACAGCGAAUGAAGCCAGGAUGCUGGAUUCUGACCUUGGAACUGUUCUGAGAGGCUGUUUGAUGCAAGACUCCCACCUGCGGGUAUCAUAGUCCAGGGUAAGGCCAUUGGGCCAACCCAGGUCUGUGUUG